AUCCAGCCGACGAGUCCCGAAUAGGAUGAAACGCGUGUUCUGGAU
rfam:Schistosoma mattheei strain Denwood, Zambia genome assembly, scaffold: SMTD_scaffold0000976